rnacentral:rRNA from 1 species
CCUACGGGAGGCAGCAGUGAGGAAUAUUGGUCAAUGGGCGCGAGCCUGAACCAGCCAAGUCGCGUGAGGGAAGACGGUCCUAUGGAUUGUAAACCUCUUUUGUCGGGGAGCAAAAGACGCCACGCGUGGCGUUCCGAGAGUACCCGAAGAAAAAGCAUCGGCUAACUCCGUGCCAGCAGCCGCGGUAAUACAGAGGAUGCGAGCGUUAUCCGGAUUUAUUGGGGUUAAGGGGUGCGCAGGCGGAAGAUCAAGUCAGCGGUAAAAUUGAGAGGCUCAACCUCGUCGAGCCGUUGAAACUGGUUGUCUUGAGUGAGUGAGAAGUAGGCGGAAUGCGUGGUGUAGCGGUGAAAUGCAUAGAUAUCACGCAGAACUCCGAUUGCGAAGGCAGCAUACCGGCGCUCAACUGACGCUCAUGCACGAAAGUGUGGGUAUCGAACAGGAUUAGAUACCCUGGUAGUC